rnacentral:rRNA from 1 species
CGGAGGAAAAGAAACCAACAGGGAUUGCCCCAGUAACGGCGAGUGAAGCGGCAACAGCUCAAAUUUGAAAUCUGGCCUUCUGGUCCGAGUUGUAAUUUGCAGAGGAUGCUUUUGGCGAGGUGCCUUCCGAGUUCCCUGGAACGGGACGCCACAGAGGGUGAGAGCCCCGUCUGGUCGGACACCGAGCCUCUGUAAAGCUCCUUCGACGAGUCGAGUAGUUUGGGAAUGCUGCUCAAAAUGGGAGGUAUAUGUCUUCUAAAGCUAAAUAUUGGCCAGAGACCGAUAGCGCACAAGUAGAGUGAUCGAAAGAUGAAAAGCACUUUGAAAAGAGGGUUAAAAAGUACGUGAAAUUGUUGAAAGGGAAGCGCCUAUGACCAGACUUGGGCCCGGUGAAUCACCCAGCGUUCUCGCUGGGGCACUUUGCCGGGCACAGGCCAGCAUCAGUUUGGCGCGGGGGAGAAAGGCUUCGGGAAUGUGGCUCCCUCGGGAGUGUUAUAGCCCGCUGCGUAAUACCCUGCGCCGGACUGAGGUACGCGCAUCGCAAGGAUGCUGGCGUAAUGGUCAUCAGCGACCCGUCUUGAAACACGGACCAAGGAGUCGUCUUCGUAUGCGAGUGUUCGGGUGUCAAACCCCUACGCGUAAUGAAAGUGAACGCAGGUGAGAGCUUCGGCGCAUCAUCGACCGAUCCUGAUGUUCUCGGAUGGAUUUGAGUAAGAGCAUACGGGGCCGGACCCGAAAGAAGGUGAACUAUGCCUGUAUAGGGUGAAGCCAGAGGAAACUCUGGUGGAGGCUCGCAGCGGUUCUGACGUGCGAAUCGAUCGUCAAA